AUUGAACGCUGGCGGAAUGCUUUACACAUGCAAGUCGAGCGGCAGCGCGGGGGCAACCCUGGCGGCGAGCGGCGAACGGGUGAGUAAUGUAUCGGAACGUACCCUGUCGUGGGGGAUAACACAGCGAAAGCUGUGCUAAUACCGCAUACGACCUGAGGGUGAAAGCGGGGGACCGUAAGGCCUCGCGCGAUAGGAGCGGCCGAUAUCGGAUUAGCUUGUUGGUGAGGUAAAGGCUCACCAAGGCGACGAUCCGUAGCUGGUCUGAGAGGACGACCAGCCACACUGGAACUGAGACACGGUCCAGACUCCUACGGGAGGCAGCAGUGGGGAAUUUUGGACAAUGGGGGCAACCCUGAUCCAGCCAUUCCGCGUGAGUGAAGAAGGCCUUCGGGUUGUAAAGGACUCUUUCUAGCAGGAACGAAACGGUA
rnacentral:rRNA from 1 species